UUCACCGGGUCACUUCGCGAUUCCGAUAUAUCGAAUUAUUGGAAGGAUCGAUAUUCACUCGAAUCGAACGAAAGUCUACAACGUUGUUCAAAAUUCUAUCGAGCCAACGUAUUACCGGACUUUUCCAAGUUUUCCGAAGUAUGUGGAGUAACGUAUUAGCGAAGCGGUUGCGUGAUGCGCGUGUCCGGUACACAACUGAGUUUAGAUCGCGUCCGAGAACACGUACGUGAAUCGUUUGGGGUCGGUGCAUUAAUUAAUGGCACAGAGGCAGAGGCCCGUUAUCUCGUCCGAGUGACGAUGUUCCCGUCGGUUGAAUCACGAAUCCGUUUAUCUCGGCGCCGCGACAAAUUUCCUGCGUUAAAAGCGUCGUGGAAUCGCCAGCUUUUCGGUAAGAGUUGCACAUCCUGACUGGAAGAGCAGAGACUCGCGUGACGCGACACAGUUCCUCGCUUCCGGGCUGUACUCUGCGAGUUUUACGCGAAAUAACGAGACUUCCUCGGCAAGUUUAUUACUCGGCCGCGCUCUGUCUUUCGUAUUCGCCGAUUUUACUGCCGCCCAUAGUUACAAUGUUCUAUCUGCCAUCUCGAAACAUCCGAGAGAACUGAAAUUUUAUCGUUUUCUUUCCGCCAUCCUUGUUUUCUUUCGCGCGAUUCGAAAUUCUACUCGGUCAUUAUUUUAUGAGACAGAGAUAUCGCAAUGGUAUUUGCUACGGCACGAUAAUAUUAAAACGAAGUUCGCACGAAGUAAAGUUCCCGUCGUAAUAGGUUCCGAGAGUUAAGAAAAAUACGUGGGAAGAAGGAACUCGGCGUGCCAUUUUAGCGAAUUGGCUCGUAAAUAUAAUAUAGCGCGCAUCUACCGUAUAACCGGAGACUUUGUUGACUUUGAAACGCGCUCUCUCGAAGAACGGUGUCUCGGGUUAAAAUAAAAAUAAACUCGCAAUAGAGGAGACGAUUUUUUCGAGCCGAGUCCGGAUCGUACGUAGAAACGCGAAGGAAUUACGACAAAUAAUAUCGUCGGUUUGGCGAAGCCAAAGCUAUCGAACUCGGGAACGAGGAGGGCAGGCAGGGAACGGGAAAAUAUUCUCAUUCGAUUUCCAUGAUUUUCGUUUCGCGUAAGAUCAACGUGCAUCCGAGCUUUCGAUUAUCUGGAUAAAGUGGAACGAACGUUUACCGAUGUUGGGGAAACGCGUCGGCUGUAAGACUGACGGCGACGACGCCGACUCUAUACGCUGCACUAUGGUUACGCGAAAGACGAAAUGAAAAUACGUCUGUCGUUCGCAUGACCGCCAAGCAGACUGCACGUGACGCAUCCGAGCUGUGCUGCGCCGUAGUAGUGUGCUUUCUAGGGAGGCUGCAACUCUUAGACGCCGGUCGCCUCCCUUUGCUUCCUUCCU